UGGGGAAUAUUGGACAAUGGGCGCAAGCCUGAUCCAGCCAUGCCGCGUGAGUGAUGAAGGCCCUAGGGUUGUAAAGCUCUUUCACCGGUGAAGAUAAUGACGGUAACCGGAGAAGAAGCCCCGGCUAACUUCAUGCCAGCAGCCGCGGUAAUACGAAGGGGGCUAGCGUUGUUCGGAUUUACUGGGCGUAAAGCGCACGUAGGCGGACUAUUAAGUCAGGGGUGAAAUCCCGGGGCUCAACCCCGGAACUGCCUUUGAUACUGGUAGUCUUGAGUUCGAGAGAGGUGAGUGGAAUUCCGAGUGUAGAGGUGAAAUUCGUAGAUAUUCGGAGGAACACCAGUGGCGAAGGCGGCUCACUGGACCAUUACUGACGCUGAGGUGCGAAAGCGUGGGGAGCAAACAGG
rnacentral:rRNA from 1 species